rnacentral:sRNA from 1 species
CUCCACCGCCCAGGUCACACUGGCGGCUCGGAGCCUGCCGGUUUCCCCGGCGGCGAAGUAGUGAGCGUCCGGUAGGCGGCUGCACGCCUCCCGCCGUUCCCUGCGUCUCUUCCCCUCUCAAGGAGCGUCGCCAUCCGCGACGCUCCCUUUUUUU